UACGAAGGGGACUAGCGUUGUUCGGAAUCACUGGGCGUAAAGCGCACGUAGGCGGAUAUGUCAGUCAGGGGUGAAAUCCGGGGCUCAACCUCGGAACUGCCUUUGAUACAGCAUGUCUUGAGUCCGAUAGAGGUGGGUGGAAUUCCUAGUGUAGAGGUGAAAUUCGUAGAUAUUAGGAAGAACACCGGUGGCGAAGGCGGCCCACUGGAUCGGUACUGACGCUGAGGUGCGAAAGCGUGGGGAGCAAACAGG
rnacentral:rRNA from 1 species